rnacentral:rRNA from 1 species
UACGAAGGGUGCAAGCGUUACUCGGAAUUACUGGGCGUAAAGCGUGCGUAGGUGGUUCGUUAAGUCUGAUGUGAAAGCCCUGGGCUCAACCUGGGAAUGGCAUUGGAUACUGGCGAUCUAGAGUGCGGUAGAGGGCAGUGGAAUUCCCGGUGUAGCAGUGAAAUGCGUAGAGAUCGGGAGGAACAUCUGUGGCGAAGGCGACUGCCUGGACCAGCACUGACACUGAGGCACGAAAGCGUGGGGAGCAAACAGGG